UGCGAAGUCAAAUGGCUGUCGUAUUACUCGGAGCGUACUUCUUUUGCGAAUUUCUUCAGAAAAUCUGCAGAACGUAAAUUUCUGAUCCUAUCUGGCAUUGUCUCACGGCGUCAUUGUCGAAUAGAAAGAGGGAAAAGGAAAGAGAGAACGAGGUGGGUGACGACGGUGCGAACUAUCACAGGUCGCUGGAUAAUUUCUACCUUUCUCGCCAUACGUCUUCAUUAAGAAGUUAUAUUCGUGGUGCGUGCGUUUAAUGGUUUUAGAAAAUCCCAGAGGAGUCGAACUGUUACUACUACCAUUACUACUACUACUACUACUACUACUACAACUACUACUACUACUACUACUGCUAUUACACUAUACUAGUUCGACUCACUGGACUCUAACGUACUCAAUAUAUUUCUUCGGUGACAGCUCGCACUCACAUAUGCACACAUAUUUUUAUACGUCUUUAUUUGACGACUAUGACGACUACGAUGACGACGACGACGACGACGACAUUGCCUAGAAGGAGGAGGAGGAGGAGGAGGAAGAAGAAGAGGACGACACGACGAUGACGACGACAACGUGCUCUCUACGAGAUUCUUUUUUUCCGCUUUAGAGAACUUCAAAACGGUAUUAAAAAUUCAGCGGAAUAGUGAGAUGAAAAAGGUAACGACAUGUAUAAUUACAUGAAAAAAGAAAAAGGGAAAAAAUAGUAGAAAGAAAAGAAUAGACUCACUGACAGACUCAUUAGAUUUAGCAACGUAAUGAACGUGUGACGUGGCCGCCUUUUAAUACUAUUUAAUAUUUUCAUCGUGUAUUCUAACCGAACAGUAUUCUUUAUUAAAAAAAAAAAAAAAAGAAAAAGAAAUAGAAAAAAGAAGAAACAGAAAAGAAUUUUGCACAUUUGCGCUACGAAUAGUCGAAUAAAAGAAACGAACGCGUAGAAACGAGACAAUUAAGCUAGAGUUCCAAUAGAGAAUAAAAUGGGAUAGAGAGCCCUUUCGCGUUUUUCUGAUUAUUUUCAUUUUAAACCACGCUCGUUUUCGCGCGUUCUCGCGGCUGUGCGAAAUUGCAAGCGUCUCGUUUUCAAAAGGAGAAGGGGAACGAAAAGAGAAAGAAAAAGAAAAGAACAAAAAAUAAAGAAAGGUAUCAACGAUGAAAAGAAAGAAGAAAUAUAGCGUACUUGGACGUGAACGUUCCGAGUAGUCAGUGAUAAAAUACAUUUCCAACCAUACUUAAAAUAAUAUACUACCGUACAUAAUAAGAUUUGAGAUCGUAAAUAAAUGAUCUUGACUUAUUUUAUUCUUCUAUAGAUUAUCGAACGAAUCGAUAGAUCGUGUAUAUUUGUCUUAUAAAAAUUUAUUCGAUUUAUAUAUAUUUCAAUGAUGAAAUACAUACAUUUAUCAAAUCGAUCUAUUUCACGGGUAUAUAUUUUUUUAUUCAUUUUCUUUUUAUUUAUUUAUUUAUUUAUUUAUCUUUAUCUUUUUUAUUAGAUAUUACACAGAAGGAGAUAAUAAAAGGCGUUUGUAGAUAAAUUCUUCUAAAUAAUGACGAUAAGUGACAGUAAGAAGAAGUCGAUAAGGAUGCCGACCUACUCAAUUUCCUUUCGUAUCAAGACAUUUUGUCGAUGACAGUUUCUCCGAUAUCUCGCGCACAUUGAGAAUCUCGACGUUCUCGAGUGACAAUUUUUAUCUCAAUGAAUCGACAAAACACGAUUUCCUAGAAAAUCACUCUAUCCU